AUAUGCUAUUUGACAUUACCAUAAAAAUGAGCAAUACAACUUGUUUUGAGCUCAAAAUACAGUGUCUUCCAAGUCAAUUUUGUUUACAAACAAUCCGUUUAUUUACAUCGCUGUUUACCGGUGUGUAGAAAUACCGAAAUCCCCGUAAUUACCGAAAUCCCCCCCAAUUCAUCGUUAAUAUUCAUUCUAUACAUAGAUGGUGACGUCACUACGUUAUUGUCAGUAAGACCGGUGUGUACACAAUGCGUUAAUAUUGAGUACGCCUGCCUAGUACCCAAAUCCGCCAUAUUUACGCAUUAAAGGGUAAAUCUGUCAUCGGUAUGGUUGUUUUUUUUGCAUCGCUUAAAUGUUAAUGUGUUAAUAAAGCAUUCAUAUACUUGUAUAUGAUUCAUCUAUUACUAUUAUAUUUUCUAUGAGUUUUGUAAUUAUUUAUGUUUUGAAUGUUUAUUCACUUGACAAAACCAGAUAUGAUACAUGUAGCAAAAGCAUCUAUAUCAUAUUGACGCGUGUGCGCAGCGGGAAAUCAGAUGGCGUGCUGCGGGUAUUCAGAUUUUCGCUUUCUAUCGGAGGCGAGUUAAUUAUCACCUCGCUAAUAAGAUAACAGAAAUAACACAUUCAAUCAGUUGUGAUAUAAUAUUGAACUUCGCUGAUAGUUAGCCUGUGCAUUCCGUUGAUAUUUCUAUCAUGACAUAAAUGAAACACAAGUUAAAUGCACCGUCUUUCUUUAUAAAUUUUAAUGGUAAUCAUACCUGUUUUUUCAUCAUUGUUCACAUUUGUUAUUAUAAUCAUUAUCUUGAAUAAUGUAACUUUUCUACCUUCUUUGCAUAUUUUUAUGUAACAUAGUUGUAUAUCUAUUUUUUCAAUUUGUUUUUAUAUUAUGUACCACUUAUUAUGUAGCAUAUAUUUAUAUAUACAUUCCGACCAGAAUGCCGGUGUAUGUCCUGGAUUUUUUAAACUAUUAUUUCUUUCUAUUAUCAUUGUCAGAUUUGGAAUUGAGGGUAACAUACUCAUUCACAGACAAGCUUAUAUAAAGCUGUGCAAUUUUAUUUCAUUACACACAGCUGCACAUUUUAACUUUUUGUUUACAUUUUUGGGACUUUUUCGGCCUUUAUCUUCAUUUCUUGUUUGUAUAUUUGGGACUAUUUCGGCCUUUUUUUAGCUCACCUGAGCACAACGUGCUAAUGGUGAGCUUUUGUGAUCGCCUUUUGUCCUUCGUGCGCCGUCAACAUUUCAACAUUUUGCCUUGUGAACACUCUAGAGGUCACAUUUAUUGUAUGAUCUUCAUGACACUUGGUCAGAACAUUUGUCCCAUUGAUACAUCGACUGAGUUCGAAACUUGGUCAUGCUGGGCCAAAAACUAGGUCACUAGGUCAAAAAAAGAAAAACCUUCUGAACAAUGUAGAUGUCACAUUUCAUGCCCAAUCUUCAUGUAACUUUUAUCAAAAUGUUUGUCUUAAUGAUAUGUUGGUUGAGAUUAAAAAUGGUUCCGGUCCGUUGAAAAACAUGGCCGCCAGGGGGCGGGGCAGUAUUCCUUAUAUGGCUAAAGAGAAACCUUGUGAACACUCUAGAAGUCACCAUUUUUGCCCAAUCAUCAUGAAACUUAGUCAAAACAUUGGUUUUAUUGAUAUCUCGGACGAGUUCGAAAAUGGUCCAGAUCGGUGAAAAAACAUGGCCGGCGGGGCAGUUUUCUCUAUAUGGAUAUAGUGAAAACAUGUGAACACUACAGAAGUCACAUUUUUGGUCCAAUCUUCAUGAAAUUUGGUCAGAACAUGUGUUUCUGGAUAUGACGGUUGGGUUUGAAAAUGGUUUGGAUCGGUAAAAAACAUGGCCACUAGGGGGGGGGGGGGGGGGGGUCAUUUUUCUUAUAGUAUAUCAUAUAUACCAUAUAGUAAAAAAAGCUUGUGAACACUCUAGAAGUCACAUUUUAGCCUAAUUAUUAUAAAAACUUGUCUAAACAUCGAUUUUAUAAAUAUCUCGGACGAGUUCGAAAAUGGUCAUGAUGGUCGUGAUCAGUGAAAAAACAUGGCCGCCAGGGGUGGGGCAGUUUUCUUUAUAUGUAUUGUAACGCCUGCCUUGUAAUUGUUUAUUUUGUUUUUAUUCUUACAAUAAUGAUUCUUUAAAUUACAAUUUUUAAUAACUUAUAAAUUCAUUAAUGAUACUUAAUAACGUAUAAAUUCAUUAAUGAUAGAUAAGGAAUAUUUUCAUUGUAUGAUAAUUCUUAAGAAAUGAAAUAAAUGCUUUAAACUCUCUGUAAGUGUGGAUGCUGAUAGUUUACAUCAGUGGUCAGUGCUGCAUCUCUUUUGACCAGUGUUUAUCUUUACCUGGAUACUAAGAAUAGCAGUGCUCUCAUUUGAUUGGAUGUUUACCUAGGUUGCCAGCUACACCUCAGAAUCAGGGGACUGGCACAUUGUUGGCCUUUUCCAUAAGAACUAAUCACUUGAAACAUCUGGGCAUACAAGUGAAAGACUAAUGUUAGAACCCCUGGCUCUAAGUUGAAAGAGUUAGUCCACUUAUGGAAAUUUUGUGGUUAGUGAAUUACUAACCUGCCAGACCUGUUUAGUGUAGCAACUGUUAGUUUUAUCAUGGAGGUGAGUUUAAAGUUCUAAGUUGAACUUUCACUUAGUAAAAGUGACUUAGUCUUAUUUGUCUCUUAAUGAAAAUUUUGAAUUAGUGAUUUACUGUGUUUCACUAACUGGGAAUGUUAAGUUAUUGGAGUUAGUUUAGUUCUUUUAAUUAAGUGCGAUUAUUAACUAAUUGAUAACUAAGGCAAAUUGAUUAGUAUAUUUUUUCUCUUAGUGAAAAUAUUGAGUUAGUGAUUUAAUAAAGAACAGGACUUGGUGAAUUUAUGCAACAAAAGUAAGUGUUUUUAAUAAGUGAGGAGUGAACAUAGUGAAUUCAUUAAAUGACAAAUCUCAGCUAGUCUUUUAAUUAAAGUGACUUAGUGUGUUGUGAUUAACGCAAGUUAUAAGUGAUUAAUCAAAGCCGAAGAAAUGAAUUUAAACUGUUUGUUUUCUUUAAGUGUCUUUUAUUAGACUUAAGUGAAUAAUACAAUGAAAGUGAGUUCUUAAUUAUUUGUUUUGUGAAAGUGAAGUUUGUUAGCGAAUUCAAUUAUGUGAUUAUGGGUGUUUGUUUAUCCUAGUGCUUUAUACAGGCAUUUGCCUCAUACUGAACACAAACUGUUGACCAAGUUUAGACAUGAAAGUGUAUAAUUGUUUUCGAAACCUUGUUUUAACUAUGAUUAACUUUUGAGAGUUUAUGAACUGUAUUUCUAUAUUAAUUGUUUGUAUUGUUUGCAUUAUUGCUUAAGUAUAAAUGAUGAAUGGUUGGAAAGAAUAAAAACAGCUUAGUCA